rnacentral:rRNA from 1 species
ACUUUCAAACUAUGAUCUGAAGUCAGGUGGGCAUUACCCGCUGAACUUAAGCAUAUCAAUAAGCGGAGGA